rnacentral:rRNA from 1 species
UACGUAGGAUGCAAGCGUUGUCCGGAUUUACUGGGCGUAAAGGGCGCGCAGGCGGCCUUAUAAGUCUUACGUGAAAGACCCAGGCUAAACCUGGGGAGGUCGUAGGAGACUGUAGGGCUAGAGAGCAGCAGAGGAUAGUGGAAUUCCCGGUGUAGUGGUGAAAUGCGUAGAUAUCGGGAGGAACACCAGUGGCGAAAGCGACUAUCUGGGCUGCCACUGACGCUGAGGCGCGAAGGCUAGGGUAG